GAUGAACGCUGGCGGCGUGCCUAAUACAUGCAAGUCGAGCGAACAGACGAGGAGCUUGCUCCUCUGACGUUAGCGGCGGACGGGUGAGUAACACGUGGAUAACCUACCUAUAAGACUGGGAUAACUUCGGGAAACCGGAGCUAAUACCGGAUAAUAUAUUGAACCGCAUGGUUCAAUAGUUAAAGACGGUUUUGCUGUCACUUAUAGAUGAAUCCGCGCCGCAUUAGCUAGUUGGUAAGGUAACGGCUUACCAAGGCUACGACGCGUAGCCGACCUGAGAGGGUGAUCGGCCACACUGGAACUGAGAAACGGUCCAGACUCCUACGGGAGGCAGCAGUAGGGAAUCUUCCGCAAUGGGCGAAAGCGUGACGGAGCAACGCCGCGUGAGUGAUGAAGGUCUUCGGAUCGUAAAACUCUGUUAUUAGGGAAGAACAAAUGUGUAAGUAACUAUGCACGUCUUGACGGUACCUAAUCAGAAAGCCACGGCUAACUACGUG
rnacentral:rRNA from 1 species